GUGAAUGAGAAGAUGGAGAAAAUAUCAGAUCAGAGGUCCAGUCACCUUCGGAAAUAUCUUGCCGGGUCCACGAGCACUGCAUGGAAGCGGGAAAUUAUUUGCCACUAGCGAGGGCGGUGCAGAGUCUCACGAGGAUAAAGGAUGCUGGGGUUAGAACCUCUGCAGAUGGAUCACUCUCGACGACGCAUGCAAAAGAUCAGCGAGAGCCGUUUUCUUCCAUCUGCUCUGACGGCGAUAGGUUCCGGAGCUCUCGAUGCUCUUAUGAGAUCCAGUCCCAAGCUGAUACGCGCUGUUUUUGCUCCGUCCCAACUCGCAUUUCAGCCUUCCGCAGGUAACCUUUGCAGUUGAUGGACACACACGCCGCAUCAAGUUGCAAGGGGUCAUGGAAAGGGGGGGGGGGAGAUCAAAAUUUCAGCGGUGGGUUCACAUUUUAGCGUUGAUCCCACGUAGAGCGGACAUGCAAGGAAAACGAUUUAAGGCAGCUAAGGUUUGAAGCAACGGACCAGGUGACACUGCCGCUCGGCACUGAUCUGAAAUCCGAUUAUUGGGAGAUCGGUCACGGGCAGUGAAACGCGACCCUAUCGUGGUUUAUCCUGAACGUGAACUUUGACGCUGGAUUCGAGGACGCCGCAUUAGCAUUUGUCAGUUUGUCUGACUUACACCACUAUGUUGACCUAAAUAGUGAUCUUAACUUCUUAACCCUGGUGGCAAGAGCAACUGCAGAUGCUGAGGGGAUGUGAAGUGAAAGUUAAAGGGUUUGAGGAGUGUGCUGUUGAUACGCGCCUUCCAUCGUUUCCAAUCAUGGUCCAGUUUUCAACCUCAGUGUGACAAGUUUUGAGGUCUGAGGUCGACGAAAUGGGCAAUGAGUUUUUGAAGGCUUUCAAGAUUCGACUGCAGGAGGAUUUCGAGGUUUCGACGCAUUUCGACCUAAAAGAAGCACAACCGUGACGAGCUUCUGAGCUGAAAGGUCUCUUCUAAAAUUGAAUGAACCAGUUUAAGGUGUCAGUUCCUUAGAGAACGAAGGUUGCGACGUCAACUUAUCAAUUAACGUGGUACAUGUUAGUUGUACAUAGUGAAGCUCCACUUGAUAUUUCAGGUCCGAUCAGCUAUGUUUUCCAAACGUCAUGACUAUUGGGAGACGCCAAACUCGGAGACAAGCUGGAUAGUUCUGGAGUUGCAAAGCAGCAGAUACUUCGAAGUGCCUGUUACUUCGCAACAAGACGACGAGCUAGACAUCUGACCACAAUUCUGGCAAAAUCAUCGUGCGAAAUAGGGCAAAGAUUGGUACGAAGCUCUUAGUGUGUCUUGUUGAUGCGCUCGUCAUCCAGCUAACAAAAAGGUAUUAAUCAGUGAGGAGAAGCUCAUGCUUGUAAAUUCAAAACAUAUCAUGGGCUUAUAAUAUGACAAAUUUGGAUCAAAAAGGCAGUUAACUGAAGAUCUUGUUGUAUUUAGUUACUAGUUUUUUUUACACCUUUCAUCAUGAAUAUGAAAUUAUUUGGCUUUUCACUGUUAUAUUUAUUUUCAAGGUUCGAAGAGAAAUUAGAAGAACAAACCAAGAACCUUACUUUUCCUUAUAUAGACUGCGGUCUUGUACUUUAUUUUGAUUACUGCGUUGAAUUUUAUCUGGUAUAGCAAACUUUUAGUCAGGAAUUAGUGAGUUGGGCAUUCAAUUUGUCUGUUUUUACAACUACUAGUUCUCUCGGUUUAGUGUUGAGAAUAAGUCACAAAAUUACAAAACAUAAAGUUGCUGAUCAUAUUCAUGGGUGCUUGGAAUAGCUGGAUCUCCUUUGCGUGUGAUCCGGAGGGUGUGUAAUUUGCAACUGCUGGAUUCCAGGCACUGCUACUCAUGUGUUGAGAUGCAGAUGGACGAGCCAUUAUUUGAUGCUCCCAAGAAGGAAGGAUAUGCGUCGGCCGAAAGAAGCAGGAACCCGAUUUACCUUCACAUCUGUUCCAGCUCUUAGAUCUACAAUGUCACAUGAACACAUACUUGGUAACGAAUCUGGCAGUAAGACUUCAUUUAUAUGGGUCCAUUCCGCUCCAAGCUUUCACAUCUGUGACAGAUUUAGCAAUAUAGUGAAAAUCUGACCGUUGGUGAUGCAACUGAAGCAAGUUUUCACGUGACAUUGUAGAUCUACGUGCCGGAUUAGUGGUGAAAGCCUCAAGUUCAAGGAUAGCAUGGUCCCUGCAAGUUUCUCACGUUGAGCAUGUGUAGUAUUACUUUACCCUGCAAGUUUUGAGCUGUUAUUCUAAAGCACAAUAGACCCUUCAUGAAGAUGCUCUUGAUAUUUUCAAUUGCAUGAUUCGGGAAGAGGUGUGAUCAGGAACCGAUUAGGUGUUGCGCUUGUAUGAAGAACAUUUGAUUGUGCUACGAAUCACUUGAUUGGUUAACCAUUUGUGGACGUUGCUGUUUCAA